UAUUUUCAUAGACUAGAAGAAUUGCUUCCAUACAAAUAUAUAUAUAUUUGUUUCCAUUAAAAAAACUAUAUCAAAUAACAUUGGGAUUGCUUCCAUGCUGAUGAUCAUGUGUCUCCGCUAAAUAUAGACUUUUCUUCGGUGAUGGUAAGUAAGCUCCACACCACCAUAUAUCGCAUUAACACGCACUGGAAUCAAAAGUUCGACGACCUUGUCCCUUGCAUUCUUGCCAUGCAGACAUAUGUGAUGCUUCUUCCUAACUUCUUAUGUGCUUCCCGCAACCAGACUACAUAAGCGAUGCUUCUUCCUAACUUCUUAUGUGCUUCCUGCAAC
rnacentral:lncRNA from 1 species